ACAUGCUAGGGAAGCACUCCACCAACUG
rnacentral:piRNA from 1 species